rnacentral:rRNA from 1 species
UACAGAGGUCUCAAGCGUUGUUCGGAUUCAUUGGGCGUAAAGGGCGCGUAGGCGGUUUGCCAAGUCAGGGGUGAAAUCCUGGAGCUCAGCUCCAGAACUGCCUUUGAUACUGGCGAUCUCGAGUCCGGGAGAGGUGAGUGGAACUGCGAGUGUAGAGGUGAAAUUCGUAGAUAUUCGCAAGAACACCAGUGGCGAAGGCGGCUCACUGGCCCGGUACUGACGCUGAGACGCGAAAGCGUGGGGAGCGAACAGG